UGACAUCCAAUAACUUUCCAGAGAUGGAUUGGUGCCUUCGGGAACAUUGAGACAGGUGCUGCAUGGCUGUUGUCAGCUCGUGUCGUGAGAUGUUGGGUUAAGUCCCGUAACGAGCGCAACCCUUGUCCUUAGUUACCAGCACGUAAUGGUGGGCACUCUAAGGAGACUGCCGGUGACGAACCGGAGGAAGGUGGGGAUGACGUCAAGUCAUCAUGGCCCUUACGGCCUGGGCUACACACGUGCUACAAUGGUCGGUACAGAGGGUUGCCAAGCCGCGAGGUGGAGCUAAUCCCAGAAAACCGAUCGUAGUCCGGAUCGCAGUCUGCAACUCGACUGCGUGAAGUCGGAAUCGCUAGUAAUCGCGAAUCGGAAUGUCGCGGUGAAUACGUUCCCGGGCCCUGUACACACCGCCCGUCACACCAUGGGAGUGGGUUGCACCAGAAGUAGCUAGUCUAACCUU
rnacentral:rRNA from 1 species